UGCUAGUUGGUGAGGUAACGGCCCACCAAGGCGACGAUCGGUAGCCGGACUGAGAGGUUGAACGGCCACAUUGGGACUGAGACACGGCCCAGACUCCUACGGGAGGCAGCAGUGGGGAAUAUUGCACAAUGGGGGAAACCCUGAUGCAGCGACGCCGCGUGGAGGAAGAAGGUCUUCGGAUUGUAAACUCCUGUUGUUGGGGAAGAUAAUGACGGUACCCAACAAGGAAGUGACGGCUAACUACGUGCCAGCAGCCGCGGUAAAACGUAGGUCACAAGCGUUGUCCGGAAUUACUGGGUGUAAAGGGAGCGCAGGCGGGAAGACAAGUUGGAAGUGAAAUCUAUGGGCUCAACCCAUAAACUGCUUUCAAAACUGUUUUUCUUGAGUAGUGCAGAGGUAGGCGGAAUUCCCGGUGUAGCGGUGGAAUGCGUAGAUAUCGGGAGGAACACCAGUGGCGAAGGCGGCCUACUGGGCACCAACUGACGCUGAGGCUCGAAAGUGUGGGUAGCAAACAGGAUUAGAUACCCUGGUAGUCCACACCGUAAACGAUGAUUACUAGGUGUUGGAGGAUUGACCCCUUCAGUGCCGCAGUUAACACAAUAAGUAAUCCACCUGGGGAGUACGACCGCAAGGUUGAAACUCAAAGGAAUUGACGGGGGCCCGCACAAGCAGUGGAGUAUGUGGUUUAAUUCGACGCAACGCGAAGAACCUUACCAAGUCUUGACAUCCCUUGACAGGCAUAGAAAUAUGUUUUCUCUUCGGAGCAAGGAGACAGGUGGUGCAUGGUUGUCGACAGCUCGUGUCGUGAGAUGUUGGGUUAAGUCCCGCAACGAGCGCAACCCUUAUGGUCAGUUACUACGCAAGAGGACUCUGGCCAGACUGCCGUUGACAAAACGGAGGAAGGUGGGGAUGACGUCAAAUCAUCAUGCCCUUUAUGACUUGGGCUACACACGUACUACGAUGGCGUUAAACAAAGAGAAGCGAGACCGCGAGGUGGAGCAAAACUCAGAAACAACGUCCCAGUUCGGACUGCAGGCUGCAACUCGCCUGCACGAAGUCGGAAUUGCUAGUAAUCGUGGAUCAGCAUGCCACGGUGAAUACGUUCCCGGGCCUUGUACACACCGCCCGUCACACCAUGAGAGCCGGGGUGACCCGAAGUCGGUAGUCUAACCGCAAGGAGGACGCCGCCGAAGGUAAAACUGGUGAUUGGGGUGAAGUCGUAACAAGGUAGCCGUAGGAGAACCUGCAGCUG
rnacentral:rRNA from 1 species